rnacentral:rRNA from 1 species
GAUCUUGAUAUCCUACUUGGAUAACUGUGGUAAUUCUAGAGCUAAUACAUGCACCGAAGCUCCGAUUUUUGACGAGCGCAUCUAUUAGAACAAAACCAAUCGAGCUUCGGCUCGUACGGUGGUGACUCUGAAUAGCUUCUGCUGAUCGCAUGGUCCAGUACCGGCGACGUGUCCAUCAAGUGUCUGCCUUAUCAACUGUCGAUGGUAGUUUAUAUGACUACCAUGGUUGUAACGGGUAACGGAGAAUAAGGGUUCGACUCCGGAGAGGGAGCCUGAGAAACGGCUACCACAUCCAAGGAAGGCAGCAGGCGCGCAAAUUACCCACUCUCAGCACGAGGAGGUAGUGACGAAAAAUAACGGGGCCGUUCUCUUUGAGGCCGGUUACCGGAAUGGGUACAAUCUAAAACCUUUAACGAGGAUCUAUGAGAGGGCAAGUCUGGUGCCAGCAGCCGCGGUAAUUCCAGCUCUCAAAGUGUAUAUCGUCAUUGCUGCGGUUAAAAAGCUCGUAGUUGGAUCUGCGCUUCAGGACUCGGUCCGCCCAAUGGACGUGAACUGGGCUUCUUGGCUAGUUAUGCUGGUUAUCCCUUCGUUGCCUUCAUCGGUUGCGUUGGGAGGCUAGCGAGUUUACUUUGAAAAAAUUAGAGUGCUUCAAACAGGCUAGUGCCUGCAUACUCGUGCAUGGAAUAAUAGAAUAGGAUCUCGGUUCUAUUUUGUUGGUUUUCUGAGCUGAGAUAAUGGUUAAGAGGGACGGACGGGGGCAUUCGUAUCGCUGCGUGAGAGGUGAAAUUCUUGGACCGUAGCGAGACGCCCGACUGCGAAAGCAUUUGCCAAGAAUGUCUUCAUUAAUCAAGAACGAAAGUCAGAGGUUCGAA